rnacentral:rRNA from 1 species
CGGGGUGAGUAAUGUAUGGGGAUCUGCCUGAUGGCGGGGGAUAACUACUGGAAACGGUAGCCAAUACCGCAUAAUGUCUACGGACCAAAGCGGGGGACCUCCGGGCCUCGCGCCAUCAGAUGAACCCAUAUGGGAUUAGCUAGUAGGUGAGGUAACGGCUUACCUAGGCGACGAUCCCUAGCUGGUCUGAGAGGAUGAUCAGCCACACUGGGACUGAGACACGGCCCAG